rnacentral:rRNA from 1 species
GAUGAACGCUGGCGGCGUGCCUAAUACAUGCAAGUCGAGCGAACGGACGAGAAGCUUGCUUCUCUGAUGUUAGCGGCGGACGGGUGAGUAACACGUGGAUAACCUACCUAUAAGACUGGGAUAACUUCGGGAAACCGUAGCUAAUGCCGGAUAAUAUUUUGAACCGCAUGGUUCAAAAGUGAAAGACGGUCUUGCUGUCACUUAUAGAUGGAUCCGCGCUGCAUUAGCUAGUUGGUAAGGUAACGGCUUACCAAGGCAACGAUGCAUAGCCGACCUGAGAGGGUGAUCGGCCACACUGGAACUGAGACACGGUCCAGACUCCUACGGGGGGCAGCAGUAGGGAAUCUUCCGCAAUGGGCGAAAGCCUGACGGAGCAACGCCGCGUGAGUGAUGAAGGUCUUCGGAUCGUAAAACUCUGUUAUUAGGGAAGAACAUAUGUGUAAGUAACUGUGCACAUCUUGACGGUACCUAAUCAGAAAGCCACGGCUAACUACGUG